GACGAACGCUGGCGGUGUGCUUAACACAUGCAAGUCGAACGGUAAGGCCCUUUCGGGGGUACACGAGUGGCGAACGGGUGAGUAACACGUGAGUAACCUGCCCUCAUCUCUGGGAUAACAGUCGGAAACGGUUGCUAAUACUGGAUAUGAGCCUGCAAGGCAUCUUGUGGGUUGGAAAGAUUUUUUGGUUGGGAUGGACUCGCGGCCUAUCAGCUUGUUGGUGAGGUAGUGGCUCACCAAGGCUUCGACGGGUAGCCGGCCUGAGAGGGCGACCGGCCACAUUGGGACUGAGAUACGGCCCAAACUCCUACGGGAGGCAGCAGUGGGGAAUAUUGCACAAUGGACGGAAGUCUGAUGCAGCAACGCCGCGUGCGGGAUGACGGCCUUCGGGUUGUAAACCGCUUUCAAUUGUGACGAAGCUUUUUGUGACGGUAGCAGUAGAAGAAGCACCGGCUAACUACGUG
rnacentral:rRNA from 1 species